UACAGAGGGGGCCAGCGUUAUUCGGAAUUAUUGGGCGUAAAGGGCGCGUAGGCGGCCAUGCGUGUCUUCCGUGAAAUCCCUCGGCUUAACUGAGGACGUGCGGAAGAAACUGCAAGGCUUGAGUCCGGGAGAGGGGGGUGGAAUUCCCAGUGUAGAGGUGAAAUUCGUAGAUAUUGGGAAGAACACCAGUGGCGAAGGCGGCCCCCUGGUUGGAUACUGACGCUGAGACGCGAAAGCGUGGGGAGCAAACAGG
rnacentral:rRNA from 1 species